rnacentral:piRNA from 1 species
UCUCCUACCUGGUCCUUUCUAGUCAUCU